CGAGCAAGCGAGACGAUCGCGCGACGCCAAAAGCGCCGUGAGGAAAGUCCGGGCUCCGCAGGGCAAGGGCGCCGGAUAACGUCCGGCGAGGGCGACCUUAGGGAAAGUGCAACAGAAACACACCGCCGAUGGCCGCGUCCUGUUUCUUCGCCUGACCAGGCGCGCGAGUGAAUGAGUAAGGGAGUGUACCAAGGCGUGCAUGACCGACGAAUGAACGAGCGGCGACGACGUCAGACGGCGGAACAGGGCGCGGCACAGGUAAGGUUGAAAUGGUGCGGUAAGAGCGCACCGGCGUCAUGGAGACAUGGCGGCCGUGUAAACCCCGCCCGGAGCAAGGCAGAAGGGUAUACCCGCCGCAAGGCGGGGCUGCGGCCCGCAG
rnacentral:RNase_P_RNA from 1 species